rnacentral:lncRNA from 1 species
UUUUUUUUUCCUUUAUCCUCGGAAAGUAAAAGUAAAAGUACUUGCUGUAACGAUUUUCUACCUUUUCGCGCUCAGUGACGUCUGUUGUCGAGAAACGGGGGGCGGUUUCAGGUAGGGAGGAGACGAUCCCCAAGUGUUCUUACUCCUCGACGAAGCUGCAAUUUAAUCCCUCUGUUGAUGAAUCUACCUCGAUCCACGCGACUCCACGAGAGGAGAGGAUUUUUUUUUUUUUUCCUUUUUCGGUACGAGAACUUUAUCCUUCUCGCGACCAUUGCAAUAAUAAUUAUUCGGGAGGAAGAGGAACACGUAUCGAGAUACGCCUGUGAAGCGUAUUCUUUUUUUUCUUUCGAAUUCCUUUUUUCGAAUCCUCCUCCGCGACCCGUUUCUCGUCGCCAACGCGUCAACCCGGAGCGGAUGAUUUUUCUAAUGUCGGUGUUUUUUGAUAAGGAGACGAGAGGGUGAACACGCGUUUUGUUUUUUCGAGACGAGGACACGAUCGCCCUCGUCGAAAAGAUGCGUUUCCUCGGGAAUAGGAAAGGGAACGAGAUUUCGAGAUUCGUGUUCGAAAUUCGUAUUCGCUCCGAGAUCUCGUCGAUCGUAAUCCGUGUAAUCCGUGGAUUCUUCUAAUGAUAAUUCUAAUGAUAAUCGAAUAGCACGUCUAUAUAUGGUACGUUGAGGGGAUGGGAUUAAGGGUUGUAUGCGGUUAUAUAAGGGAGGGGAUGGUACACGAGAAACGAGAGCAAAAGAUUAGAAACGUAUAUAAACGCGAAAGGAAGACAUUUUUUUCUUGUGGGGGGGGGGGGGUCUCGAGGAUGGCUAUAUUAAACGUGGAAAGAGAGGUUAAUGAGUGGUUGAACUAUGAAUAGAGUUUAGAAUAUAGUCAUUAUGAAGGAGGAGAUGGUGGAGAAUUGACGAAGAGAUGAAAGGUUUUGAAAUCAUCGAUAAAUAUAUAAGUUUUAUUGGAAAACAAAGGUUUUUCAGGUUUUUCUAGUUAAGGGAAACUUUCCUUCGUUUCGCACGUCGGCCAAUUUGCUCGACGCCCAAAGAGAAUAUCCUUGAAAUUUCGUUGAAUAUUUUAGAGACUCGGCUCUAACUCGGUUAUCUCUCGACGCUCGUCAUCGCCAUGCAUUCUUCCUUCCUUUCGAGCGGGAGGAGAUUGUUGAUUUUUUUUUUUUUUUCGUAAACCGAAGGAAAGGAUAAGGAUACAGACGAGACGAAAGGGAAGAAGAAAACGUGGUCGUCGAACGUGGUCGAGAAUCGUGUUCUAGUGAUAGGCUACUUGUGAACGCUCGACAAAGGAAGGAGGAACAGAGGCGAAGAGAGAAAGAGUUGGUGUGAGAAAGUGAUGAGACGAAGAAAAAGAAAAAGAAGAGGAAGAAGAAGAAGAAGAAAGAAAAAAAGAAAAUUUUAUCCUGCAAUUUAUAUAUCGGUUGUUCUUCGAGGCGUUCUUUUUCACGCGGACAUUCACGCGGUUUGAAAAUAAUCUAAUAAGAAGAUGAAGUAUAUAAAUAUAUAAAUAUAUUAUAUAUGAAAAUAAAUAUGAAAAUAUUAUAUUAUAUGAAUCUACGUUUAAGGAUCGGUUUUUUUUUGUCUCUUAGUGUGUAAGUUCUCUUUACAGCUGUGCUAGACAACUAUAGGUAUAUAUACGACGACACACACACACACACAUAUAUAUAUAUACACAUAUAAACGACAUUAAAAUUAACAGAAUUCACAUAUUAAUGUAUAAAGAAAUGAAAUACCGCUGUACGAGUAUCUGCGUAUCGAUCGAUAAUACGAAUGAGCCUCGUACGGCUCAUCUUAGGAAUAAACAACUUGUAUCUGUUUAGCGAUUUAAAACUUCCUUGUACAAGUUUUUACAUAGGGAAGAAGAGGCGAGACGAGUCGAAAGAUCGAGCGGUGAUUCGUCGGACACGCGCGAUAAUCCUUUCGCCCUUCUCUCUUCCCGUGCACUUUUCUCUUCUCUGUGCACUCUCGAACGAGGGCACGGUACAGAAAAAAUUAUAUACGAAAUACGAGAGACAAUAAGAGUACCUUACCGGAUCUUCGGUAAAAAUCGUCCAUGAUGUUUGGCUGAAAGGAAUGAUCGAUGGAGAGAAAAAUAAAAAAAAAAAAAAAAAAAAAUAAGACAAAUUCUAGAAGCAAAUAUUUGAUCGAAAUUACGAAGAGAAAUGUAUAUUCACGGAGGAAUAUCGUGCGUGUCUGAUAGAUGGAAAUUGCCACGCGAUCUUUCAUUGUGUAAUUUUUUUUUUCCUUUUAUUUUCUUUUUUUUUUUUUACAUUUGUGACAUAUAUAUAGAGAUGCAUUGACACAUUGGAACGAAUACUUGGACACGCGUAACACACAAGGACAGCAGGGGUAGACACUAGAUUGUAUAUACAUACACACGGAGAUGAUACACAUAAGUGAUGUUCUUUCGCGAUUACACGAACAGCCGAGCCGCGUGGACCGUGAUCAGAAACGCGUCCGAUCUUUUCUUACUAGCGUCUCCUAGUUUUUAACGUUUUAUCGAGCAAAUCUGGCUCGUUAGUCCAUUUUUUUUUUUUUUAAUUUCAUUUUCCUAUCGACAGUUCUUCCGUGCGAUCAUUUAUCCUUUUCUUUUUUUAGUAUUUUUUCCCUCCGUUUAAACUCUUAGAUUUCACCUUGUUUAAUUCAUUCGAUUCAUCGAUGCUUGUAGAUCAACCUAGCUUGGUUCAAUAAUCAAUGAGUUUAUGAGGAUUCUUUUUAUUUUCUUUUAUCCUGAUCCAUCGAUAAAUAUAUAUUGUCUCUAAGUUAACGAGUUUAAGGAAUCGGUUGGCGGAAAGAUCGAGUCGUACGGAAGACGCGAUGAUAAUUUUUUGUGAUCGAUGAUACGAAGGAAUCGAGAAAUGCUCGAACAAUUUAUAACGAUUUUGUUCCAUUUCGUUCGUGAAUGCCUCUUUGAGUUAUCAGAUUUUUUUUUUUUUUAAAUUAUCUCUCGCUUGUGCAAAAAAUACGUUACUCUUUAGAUUACAUUCUCAAGCGUGUCACAUCAACACAUUUACGUACAACGACGUUCGUCUCCAAGGAGGUCGACGUGAUCGGUCGCGAGUUCGAGAGCACGUACAUAUACGCUAUCGUAGGUUUCUAGGGAUUUUUUUUUCCCUCAACGCUUUGUUCCCAACCGCGCCAAUUUCAAACUCGUGAUUUCUUCUUCGACGAGAUCGACGAGAGUCCAUCGAGCAGGGAAUAGAAUAUGAUUUUUUCCCUUUUUCUUUUUUCUUCGUCGAUCCUGUUGUCCGUCGAGCCGAAAUCGCGCCACGGCUCGAUACCUAGGAAUGCGAAUUUGUAAAUCGAGGGUCGUUCUCUCGAGAUCAUUUAAACGGAAGAGGAAGAGAUAAUUCUCGAGAGCAACAAAUUCUCGUAGAAAAUUUAACAAACUCGAAAAUAUAUAAUCGCAUCCUUACACGUUGAAACGUUAUUAGAUUCGACUUUGAAUUGAACGAUGAUUCGUCGAGUUUUUCAGUCGCGAUUCUCGCGGGUACGUCUGAUGAGGGUGAUUCUUCUCGAAAUUAAUUAUUAUAUACACGAGAGGGAGGACGAAUUUUUCGGAAACUACGAAUGAUACCUUCAAUACCUCAAGUUAUAUUAUUAUCAAAUUAUUGGAAACACUGUGUGCUUUUUAUCGUCCAUCGUCGGUUGUGUAGAAUUAGUAAAGAAAUUUAAUAAAGGAGGAUUCUCGGUGAUCGUGCCCGCGGAGCCGCGCGCGUUUUUUCUCGUUUUCCAGCCCAGGUUAUUUUCAGGCGCAGAGACAGAGAGAGAGAGAGAGAGACGUGUACGAUGCCAUUAAACACGAACGUGGAACCGAAGGGGAAAUCAAGUGGAGAAAGAUGUUGGAAGAGAGAGAGAGAGAAAGAGAAGAGAAGAAGGUGAUUGGUUGCACAUAAUCCUUCCCAGUGGAGAAAGGAAGAAGAAAAAUCCUUUCGGUUUCGCGUGUGUCGAGUCCCGAUUAAGUUUGACAGAUUAUAAAUCUCACUCCCUCCCUUUUUGCAAACGCUGAUUCAGAGACCACUGUUUUUUCCACGCCCACACGAUGACGAAGAGAGAGCGAGAGAGUGAGAGAAUGAGAGAAAGAGAGAGCAUUAGAGAAAAUGAAGAAAAAAAAAUGAAGAAGAAGAAGAAGAAGAAGAAAAGAGAUUGAUUAUUUCCUUGUGAAGAAUCUCCUUGUAAUUUGAUGCGUGUAAUUUAAAAUGUACAUUGCCGAAAAAGAGAAAAAAAGAAAAAAAAAAAGAAAAAAAUAUGGUGUUGUUAUAAUAUCUGAAACGUGUUACGAACGACGAAGAAAUUUUAUCGAAGUGCGCUACUGGAGAGCGAUUUUGUUUUUUCUCGCGGACGGCGUUUACGUUGAUCCUGUUUCGCGCCUUGUCUCUCGACAUUAUUUAAUUAUCCUACCGUUGAUCCUUACGAGAAGAGAAAUUUUAUUAAAUCGAGCAAGCAAAGUAGAUUCGAGUUAAAGAGGGAGAAGGGAUUGGAGAAC